rnacentral:rRNA from 1 species
UACGCAGGGUGCGAGCGUUAAUCGGAAUUACUGGGCGUAAAGCGUGCGCAGGCGGUGAUGUAAGACAGAUGUGAAAUCCCCGGGCUCAACCUGGGAACUGCAUUUGUGACUGCAUCGCUGGAGUGCGGCAGAGGGGGAUGGAAUUCCGCGUGUAGCAGUGAAAUGCGUAGAUAUGCGGAGGAACACCGAUGGCGAAGGCAAUCCCCUGGGCCUGCACUGACGCUCAUGCACGAAAGCGUGGGGAGCAAACAGG